CUACGCACUCCUACGGGAGGCAGCAGUGGGGAAUAUUGCACAAUGGGCGCAAGCCUGAUGCAGCCAUGCCGCGUGUAUGAAGAAGGCCUUCGGGUUGUAAAGUACUUUCAGCAGUGAGGAAGGUGGAUAUGUUAAUAGCAUAUUCAUUUGACGUUAGCUGCAGAAGAAGCACCGGCUAACUCCGUGCCAGAAGCCGCGGUAAUACGGAGGGUGCGAGCGUUAAUCGGAAUUACUGGGCGUAAAGCGCAUGCAGGUGGUUUGUUAAGUCAGAUGUGAAAGCCCGGGGCUCAACCUCGGAAUUGCAUUUGAAACUGGCAAACUAGAGUACUGUAGAGGGGGUAGAAUUUCAGGUGUAGCGGUGAAAUGCGUAGAGAUCUGAAGGAAUACCGGUGGCGAAGGCGGCCCCCUGGACAGAUACUGACACUCAGAUGCGAAAGCGUGGGGAGCAAACAGGAUUAGAUACCCUGGUAG
rnacentral:rRNA from 1 species